AAUUUUGGACAAUGGGGGCAACCCUGAUCCAGCCAGCCCGCGUGUGCGAUGAAGGCCUUCGGGAUGUAAAGCACUUUUGGCAGGGAAGAAAAGGCUCUGGCUAAUACCUGGAGCAGCUGACGGUACCUGCAGAAUAAGCAGCGGCGAACUACGUGCCAGCAGCCGCGGUAAUUCGUAGGGUGCAAGCGGUAAACGGAAUUACUGGGCGUAAAGCGUGCGCAGGCGGUUCGGCAAGAAGGAUGUGAGAUCCCAGGGCUUAACCUUGGAACUGCAUUCUUAACUGCCGGGCUAGAGUAUGUCAGAGGGGGGUAGAAUUCCGCGUGUAGCAGUGAAAUGCGUAGAGAUGCGGAGGAAUACCGAUGGCGAAGGCAGCCCCCUGGGAUAAUACUGACGCUCAUGCACGAAAGCGUGGGGAGCAAAC
rnacentral:rRNA from 1 species